UGAGGAAUAUUGCACAAUGGGGGCAACCCUGAUGCAGCGACGCCGCGUGAGCGAUGAAGCCCUUCGGGGCGUAAAGCUCUUUCGACCGGAACGAUAAUGACGGUACCGGGAGAAGAAGCUGCGGCUAACUACGUGCCAGCAGCCGCGGUAAUACGUAGGCAGCAAGCGUUGUUCGGAGUUACUGGGCGUAAAGAGUGCGUAGGCGGUUUUGUAAGUUCGGUGUGAAAGCUCCCGGCUUAACUGGGAGGGUGCGCUGGAGACUGGGAAGCUGGAGUGUGGGAAAGGCAGGCGGAAUUCCUGGUGUAGCGGUGAAAUGCGUAGAUAUCAGGAGGAACACCGGCGGUGUAGACGGCUUGCUAGACCAUAACUGACGCUGAGGCACGAAAGCGUGGGUAGCAAACA
rnacentral:rRNA from 1 species